rnacentral:lncRNA from 1 species
UUUAGAAUUUUUCUGAUUUUUCUUGAGAUGUUUUAGCUCUCUUACUCUGUCCUCUUCUUUCUACUUUCAUCCUAGUUAAAAUUCCAUCUAACUUCAUGGCUUCAGUUAACAUCUGUAUGCAAAAAUCUCCCAAAUUUCUUUCUUGAGCUCUGAUAUCUUUUCUGAGCUCUAUAUCCACACAAUCAACUACCCAACCGAUUUUCAACUUGGGUAUCUCAUACAGAUAACUCAAACUCAAUAUAUUCAAAACCGAGUUCAUGAUCACCUACCCCUACACGUCCCCGCCCAUGCUUCAUCCCUUUUCCAGGGCUACCUAUUUAAGAAAAUAGCCAUUCACUUCUGGAACUACAGGUGCCCGCCACCACAGCUGGCUAAUUUUUUGUGUUUUUCAUAGAGACGGGGUUUCACUGUGUUAGCCAGGAUGGCCUCGAUCUCCUGACCUCGUGAUUCGCCCACCUCAGCCUCCCAAAGUACUGGGAUUACAGGCGUGAGCCACCACGCCCGGCCUUAGACAUGAUUCUUAACCACCCUUUGCCUCAGUUUCCUCAUCUGAAAAAUGGGGGUAAUAAUAGCACCAACUACAUAUGGUUGUGGUAAGGAUUAAGUAAAUUAACAUAUAAAAAAUUGCUCCAAGCAAUGUUUGGUACAAAGAAAAUGUGGUAUUAAGUGUCUUAUGUUGUUGUUGCUGUUAUUAUUAUAAAUCAACUCAAUGCUCCCAGUACAGAAGACAGUAGUGUACAGACAUACAAAUAUGGCUCCACCACUUAUUUCACUCAUCUUUACAUAUUUCUUGGAGUCUCAGUUUCUUCAUUAGUAAAAUUAAGAUAAUUCACCUCAUUGUUAGCACAAAUUAGAUGAUGCAUGUUAAAUUCUUAACACAGUGCUAGUCACAAAAAACUCAAUAAA